GAUGAACGCUGGCGGCGUGCCUAAUACAUGCAAGUCGAGCGAACAGACGAGGAUCUUGCUCCUCUGACGUUAGCGGCGGACGGGUGAGUAACACGUGGAUAACCUACCUAUAAGACUGGGAUAACUUCGGGAAACCGGAUCUAAUACCGGAUAAUAUAUUGAACCGCAUGGUUCAAUAGUGAAAGACGGUUUUGCUGUCACUUAUAGAUGGAUCCGCGCCGCAUUAGCUAGUUGGUAAGGUAACGGCUUACCAAGGCAACGAUGCGUAGCCGACCUGAGAGGGUGAUCGGCCACACUGGAACUGAGACACGGUCCAGACUCCUACGGGAGGCAGCAGUAGGGAAUCUUCCGCAAUGGGCGAAAGCCUGACGGAGCAACGCCGCGUGAGUGAUGAAGGUCUUCGGAUCGUAAAACUCUGUUAUUAGGGAAGAACAAAUGUGUAAGUAACUAUGCACGUCUUGACGGUACCUAAUCAGAAAGCAACGGCUAACUACGUG
rnacentral:rRNA from 1 species